CCGUCGCCCCUCCUCGUCGUCGUCCCGUUCCGCCGCUGCUCACCCGCGGGCGGGAGGGGCAGACGCUCGACUAGGGGCCCGUGCCGCCGCCGAGGGCUCGGGAGGACGAGGCUGGGGCGCCUCACGAGCUCAGACCUCCCCGUCGUCUGCCACCACCCGCGAACGCGGCGGCGGUAGAGGAAGCAGGAAGGGCGGGCUGGGGGCUGCGAGUGAAGGGGCCCGCAGCAGCGGCAGCAGGUGUUGGUGGCGGUGGCGCGGGGGUGGGAGAGGGGUAGCGACGUCCCGGGGUGGAAGAGGGUUAGGGGAGUGGGAAGAGAGGGCACCGGUCACCUAAGCGGGGAGUGCCCUAGCUAAGAACACAAACAUAAACAACCUAACGAACGAAUACAGAUUACUUCUCUCAUAUACAGGACGGCAAUAAGACUAAAUCAAGGAAUCCAAUUAUAUUAAAAUAACACCAAAAAAAUGUCUACAAAGUAAAAUGGAUCCCUAUUUUUCACGUUAUAUUUCCAAGUAAUUUGUUUGACUUGAAUAUAUACUAGUAAAUCCACGACUUAAACAGAUAGACUUGAAAUAACCAUGACUUUAAUAGAGUAUAUUUCAUUCACUAAGUAAAGGGGAGCUCACCUAUUUGUAUAUCACCUUCUUCCCGAAGAUACAGCAUGGGUACGGAAGUAUAAAUCAAGGUACGAUUUCCUAGUGAUUUAGAGCCGAGGAGGUAACAAAAAGAAUAGUUUGAUCUCCCGAAGUAUUUAUAACAUAUAUACAGAAUGGUUCUGUAAAAGAUUCAUUGUAUCACUCCGUACGUAAACUAGGAACCCCUCUUCGAUUGGACUUAACGUAUAACCAAUACACUCUUCACGGGAGAGAGGGAGAGAGUACCACACAAAGAAGGAGGAAACACACAAAAGAAUUUAUCCCCCUCCCCCGCAGCUAUACGGUUCGUCCUUCUUUCGACCUAGGCCUACGUUCCCCGUCCGCCUGUCUGUUAUUCCACGCACGGCUGAUGUGUUGACGCCCCCUCCCCAACAGCUAUACGGUUCGUCCUUCUUUCGACCUAGGCCUACGUUCCCCGUCCGCCUGUCUGUUAUUCCACACACGGCUGAUGUGUUGACAUCAUAUGUUGACGGUUGGAAAAAACAAAAUCACUCUAUAAAAAAACACUACAAAGGAGAUCUGUGUUUGGUAUUAACAAAGCUUAUAUUGAUGGUAAAAAAUAAAGAACCCUCACAUAAAGACACGUUCCCCCCUAAAUUAAACUAUCAGGUACAGUCGUCAACGGUACAAAAAAUUGGCAAAACUGGUAUAAUUGGUAACUCACCAACAGUCUAAUUAGUAUGGAACAACAGUACACAAAAAAGCAUACUGGAACGGUACAAAUAUUUGGGCAUCAACGAACCGUAAACCUUAACCCUUAAAACCAGUGAAGAUAUCUAGGACCAUCCUGGAUGGUAAAACCAGUGAAAAUAUCUAGGACCAACACGAGUUUAAAUGUGCCCCACCGAUAGAGAGAAGAUAUGUAACAACAGAGGAAUCCUUUAACUUUUCGAAGAGAACCAGUGGGGUAUAAGUCGUCGAGUUUUUGUGUACAACCAUCGUACGAACCGCGUUACGUUUUUAGUCACAACACACUUUAUAAGUCAGACAUAAAGACGAUUACCUCAAAAUCCUAUCAAGACUCAAAACAUUAGGAUCUCUAACAAGAAGUAAGAAGAACGUCCACAUUAAAUAUAACAUACUACGUAACAGUUUCUCAUGGCAACACUAUUAAAUUGACUUUUAUACUCAAAUAUUCGAGUUUAACAAGGCCAAGUCAAAUAUUCUUAAUAAAUCCUAGAGACGAUGACGCUAAAAGUACUAGGUUAAUAUCAAAUAUUCGAGUUUGACAAGGACAAGGACUAGGUUUAACACGACCUCAUGAGAGACGGAGAACUCACGUCCUUUUACGGAGUUAAUUAAUCAAACAGCGAGGCAAUCAGCGGUACCAGUCUACUACGAAGUCCAAACGUGAAGUGUAACUCCAUAUCUUCUCGUGACCAUCGUUGGUGUAGUACUUUCCCAGCUGCUUGCUGCUAGGCUAUACGCAACGGCUCUCACUUCGAGUACCCAACCGAGGGAGAAGGGGUAGCCUGGACCGUCCUCCUACUCGCGGGAAGGGGCGCUGGACGGCGUGUGGGGGACAGCGGCACGGUGGCGGCAGCGGGACUGGGGGUAGGAGCUGGAGUGCGACGGGUCGCAGAGGAGGGAUGGGGGAACCGUGAGCCAUCCUCCUCACGUCCUUCGAGCACCCAGUGGAGGGAGGAGGAGACAUACGAACCCGAGUGCGUCUGUGUGAUACAUUGUCGGAUUGUCCAACCAGGAACUCGGGGCGUUAGACAAGCUACAAAACACGUGAUCCCUCACCCGAGUGUCCGACUACGUCGAAUUCAUUAAACGCAGGUACUAAUUCACAAGUCCGUGACCCAAUUAAGGAAGACCAGAGUACACGUCUCAACAAUGACCACCUUACUUACUAAACCAAAUCAUACCACCACGUGUCUUAACAACUAUAACCUCAGUCAAUGGAAAUGUACGAAUUUGUGAGACAAUUAACAGACGUCAUGUCUUAAACGUACAACAACGUUGUUUACCAAACCAAAUCUCAAAAGUAUAUCACACUUCUUCUAGUUAUCAUUCACCUUACCUAGUCAGACAAUUCAAAAUAGGUUACAACAAGAACCGGAUUUGCUAAACCAGGUCAGGACAUUCUCUCGUUAUCGUAGGCCUAGGUUUCAUUAAUCAGCACUGCAAACAACCGUAUUACAUAAUUUGGAAAUAGGAAAACCAUAUAGUAACAACGUAAAGGAUACUUUUGCG
rnacentral:rRNA from 1 species